CUGUUCUAUUUCAAAGGCACUGGCUCGUUCCUUCAACCACUUAGGGAGUACCCGGGGCCCGGGACGGGCCACACAGGCUCUGCCCUCGGGGAACCUAGACGUGCACCCCAAAAGCGAAAGCACAAGAGUGCCAAUAUGACAUCACACGAUGCUGCAGUUGGGAGGUGAUGUGAGCAGCUGGCUCCGAGAGGUUGUACCAGUGGGCUCCAGCACACCGUUGGAUGGACACCAAGGUAGUGUGGCCGAGAGUGGCACACAGAGCCCAGGCAAGCUGCUUAGUAAACCAAGUGUGACCUUGCCAUCCUCCAACUAGAAGUGGUCUAAAUCACCUCUUAUGAUUCCGGGCUAACAUCUGAGACUUGCUUGAACAAUAGAAUGAGGCAAAAUGGCUAGUUCAUAAGAAGCCUCACAGCAUCCACUUGGACCUCAUAGAACGCUUGCCUCUGCAAUGCCUCCCCUGGGAACCCAACUGCCAUAUUUGAGAAGCCCAAGUUAUAAAAUGUUCCAGGCAAUGCCUGAACCAACCAACAGCCAGCAUCACCUGCCAUCUGAGUGGAAAUCUCAAGAAAGAGAGGCCCAACUGUGCCCAGCCAAUUCACCAAACCAUGAGAAGUAAUAAUAAAUGGUUUUAAGUCA